rnacentral:rRNA from 1 species
GUAAUGGUGAAUGAACAGGGAUGAGCUCAGGCUGGAAACCGAUACAUCUGUGUCGGGCUGUAGCCUGCAGGCAUAGCGCUAUCGGCGGCUCGAGCGCAAGCCUCUUGGAAUAGAGCGUGUGCCCGGGUGAGAAUCCUGCAUCUCGCUCGAUGUCCGCUGUCCACAGUGCUUGUCCUGAGAGUCACGCUCCUCGGAAUUGGAGCGUAAAUCAGGUGGUAAGUUUCAUCCAAAGCUAAAUAGAAGCUCGAGACCAAUAGCAAACAAGUACCAUGAGGGAAAGAUGAAAAGGACUUUGGAAAGAGAGUUAAAAGUGUUUGAAAUUGCUGAGAGCGAAGCGAACGGAGCCACAUGUCGUGCUGAGAUUGCUGUGGGUCUUUGUGAGCCUUGAGCAUGUAAGCGCAAGCUGACUGCUUAUGUGUGAGCAUUUACCCGCAGUGUUUCUCAGCAUGCGAGUCAUUAGCCACAUUUGUUUGAGGAUGGCCUUCAGCUCACAUGGUACACUUGUUAGUGUUCCUCUGUGCGGUGUGGGACUCAGACAGGUGUGGCUUGUUGACCCAGUGGUUUUUUUCGACCCGUCUUGAAACACGGACCAAGG